rnacentral:rRNA from 1 species
AUUGAACGCUAGCGGGAUGCCUUAUACAUGCAAGUCGAACGGAGUGGCGAACGGGUGAGUAAGGUAUCGGAACGUGCCCAGUAGCGGGGGAUAACUACGCGAAAGCGAAGCUAAUAACACAUACUAUUGGAGCGGCCGAUAUCGGAUUAGCUAGUUGGUGGGGUAACGGCUCACCAAGGCGACGAUCCGUAGCUGGUUUGAGAGGAUGACCAUGCACACUGGGACUGAGACACGGCCCAGACUCCUACGGGAGGCAGCAGUGGGGAAUUUGGGGCAAUGGGGGAAACCCGGAUCCAGCCAUCCCGCGUGUGCGAUGAAGGCCUUCGGGUUUUAAAGCACUUUUGGCAGGAAAGCGGUACCUUCAGAAUAAGCACCGGCUAACUACGUGCCAGCAGCCGCGGUAAUAC